rnacentral:rRNA from 1 species
UACGGAGGGGGCCAGCGUUGUUCGGAAUUAUUGGGCGUAAAGGGCGCGUAGGCGGUCGUGACAAGUCACUUGUGAAAUCUCCGGGCUUAACUCGGAACGGUCAAGUGAUACUGUCGGACUAGAGUACAGAAGGGGCAACUGGAAUUCUCGGUGUAGCGGUGAAAUGCGUAGAUAUCGAGAGGAACACCUGCGGCGAAGGCGGGUUGCUGGGCUGAUACUGACGCUGAGGCGCGAAAGCCAGGGGAGCGAACGGG